rnacentral:rRNA from 1 species
UCGAGCGAGAAAGUGGUAGCAAUACCAUGAGUAAAGCGGCGCACGGGUGAGUAACACGUGACUAACCUACCCUCGAGUGGGGAAUAACUUCGGGAAACCGAGGCUAAUACCGCAUAAUACCCACGGGUCAAAGGAGUAAUCCGCUUGAGGAGGGGGUCGCGGCCGAUUAGUUAGUUGGCAGGGUAAUGGCCUACCAAGACGAUGAUCGAUAUCCGGCCUGAGAGGGCGCACGGACACACUGGAACUGAAACACGGUCCAGACUCCUACGGGAGGCAGCAGUGGGGAAUUUUGCGCAAUGGGGGAAACCCUGACGCAGCAACGCCGCGUGGAGGAUGAAGUCCUUCGGGACGUAAACUCCUUUCGAUCGGGACGAUUAUGACGGUACCGGAAGAAGAAGCCCCGGCUAACUUCGUGCCAGCAGCCGCGGUAAUACGAGGGGGGCGAGCGUUGUUCGGAAUUAUUGGGCGUAAAGGGUGCGUAGGCGGUUUGGUAAGUCUCUUGUGAAAUCUAUGGGCUCAACUCAUAGUCUGCAAGGGAAACUGCCGGGCUUGAGUGUGGGAGAGGUGAGUGGAAUUUCCGGUGUAGCGGUGAAAUGCGUAGAUAUCGGAAGGAACACCUGUGGCGAAAGCGGCUCACUGGACCACAACUGACGCUGAUGCACGAAAGCUAGGGGAGCAAACAGGAUUAGAUACCCUGGUAGUCCUAGCCCUAAACGAUGACUGCUUGGUGUGACGGGUACCCAAUCCCGCCGUGCCGUAGCUAACGCGUUAAGCAGUCCGCCUGGGGAGUACGGUCGCA